AGUUAAGCGUGGUUGGGCGAGAGUAGAACUAGGAUGGGUGACCGUCUCGGAAGUCCUCGUGUUGCAUUCC
rnacentral:rRNA from 1 species